AGAAUGAACGCUGGCGGCAUGCCUAACACAUGCAAGUCGAACGAGACCUUCGGGUCUAGUGGCGCACGGGUGCGUAACGCGUGGGAAUCUACCCUUGGGUUCGGAAUAACAGUGAGAAAUUACUGCUAAUACCGGAUAAUGUCGCAAGACCAAAGAUUUAUUGCCCAGGGAUGAGCCCGCGUAAGAUUAGCUAGUUGGUGGGGUAAAGGCCUACCAAGGCGACGAUCUUUAGCUGGUCUGAGAGGAUGAUCAGCCACACUGGGACUGAGACACGGCCCAGACUCCUACGGGAGGCAGCAGUGGGGAAUAUUGGACAAUGGGCGAAAGCCUGAUCCAGCAAUGCCGCGUGAGUGAUGAAGGCCUUAGGGUUGUAAAGCUCUUUUACCGGGAAGAUAAUGACUGUACCGGGAGAAUAAGCCCGGCUAACUCCGCGCCAGCAGCCGC
rnacentral:rRNA from 1 species